rnacentral:rRNA from 1 species
AUUGAACGCUGGCGGCAGGCUUAACACAUGCAAGUCGAGCGAGCGGCGGACGGGUGAGUAAUGUCUGGGAAACUGCCUGAUGGAGGGGGAUAACUACUGGAAACGGUAGCUAAUACCGCAUAACAUCAGAUAUGCACAGAUGGGCUUAGCUAGUAGGUGGGGUAAUGGCUCGCCUAGGCGACGAUCCCUACCUGGUCUGGGAGGGUGACCGGCCAGCAGGGAACUGAGACAGGGUCCAGAGUCCUACAGAAGGCAGCAGUUGGGAAUAUUGCACAAUGGGCGCAAGCAUGAUGCAGCCAUGCCGCUUGUGUGAAGAAGGCCUUCGGUUUGUAAAGCACUUUCAGCGAGGAGGCGUUACUCGCAGAAGAAGCACCGGCUAACUCCGUGCCAGCAGCCGCGGUAAUAC